rnacentral:rRNA from 1 species
GAUGAACGCUGGCGGCGUGCCUAAUACAUGCAAGUCGAACGAACGGACGAUAAGCUUGCUUUUCUGAUGUUAGCCGAGGGGGGGUGAAUCACGCGUGGAUCACCUCCCUAUAAGACUGGGAUCACUUCGAGACACCGGAGCUAAUACCGGAUAAUAUUUUGAACCGCGUGGGGCGAUGGUGAAAGACGGUCUUGCUGUAUCUUCUCGCUGCAUACGGGCUGCAUGAGGUGGUUGGUAAGUUAACGGCUUACCAAGGCAACGAUGCCUAGCCGAGCUGACAGGGUGAUAGGCGACAUUGGAAGUGAGACACGGACAAGAGUCCUACGGUAGGCAGCAGUAGGGAAUCUUCGGCAAUGGGCGAAAGCCUGACGGAGCAACGCCGCGUGAGUGAUGAAGGUCUUCGGAGCGUAAAAACCUGUUAUGAGGGAAGAACAGAUGUGGAAGGAAAUGUGCAGAGCGUGACGGUACUUAAUCAGAAAGCCACGGCUAACUACGUG